GACGAACGCUGGCGGCGUGCUUAACACAUGCAAGUCGAACGGAAAGGCCCCUUUGGGGGUACUCGAGUGGCGAACGGGUGAGUAACACGUGAGUAACCUGCCCUUUACUUCGGGAUAACUUCAGGAAACUGGGGCUAAUACCGGAUAGGAAUCCUUGCUGCAUGGUGGGGGUUGGAAAGCUUCGGCGGUUUUGGAUGGACUCGCGGCUUAUCAGCUUGUUGGUGGGGUAGUGGCUUACCAAGGCUUUGACGGGUAGCCGGCCUGAGAGGGCGACCGGCCACAUUGGGACUGAGAGACGGCCCAGACUCCUACGGGAGGAAGCAGUGGGGAAUAUUGCACAAUGGGUGGAAGCCUGAUGCAGCAACGCCGCGUGCGGGAUGACGGCCUUCGGGUUGUAAACCGCUUUCAGCAGGGGCGAAGCUUGUGGUGACGGUACCUGCAGAAGAAGCACCGGCUAACUACGUG
rnacentral:rRNA from 1 species